UCUGCGAUCUGGCUUCAGUAUCUGUCACCCCAUUGAUCACGGUUGAUUCAGCUGAUCUGGCUGGCUAGGCAGAUGUUCCCUUCCUUCCUCAGGGCUCCAUGUGUGUCCCUCCUGAAGCUGCUCCACCUUCCCUGAAUAGAGGAGGACCGGUCAUCAGUCAAGGAUAUAAGAGUAGCUAUGCUCCCCUGCUAGAACCUCUAAACUAGCUCCAUGCAGUUUUUAAGGGGCUCAAAUGGAACCAGCCAUUGCAGAAAAGUUCAAAUCACUAACCUGUGCAGACUGCUUUU
ensembl:misc_RNA 7SK 7SK RNA